rnacentral:lncRNA from 1 species
UUCGGGUUAAGAACUUCAUGAACCAUCCUCAAACAUAGCUUUCCCUCACUGAGGCUAACCACUGUUUAAAAGGGAUGGAUGAAUCCCUACCUUACUUCGGUGACCACCGUAAGAACAGGAUUCCGAACCUCGAACCACCGCACCUCACCAUAACCACCGCGUCAUCGCCACAUGAACGAACUCAUCAUCACCGCCGCUACUGGACCACCGUGAACCACCAUAAACCGCCACCAUCAGAACCUUCGGUUAUCAUCGUGGCUCCCUCCAUGCCCGCGUCUGGACCGUCAGCACCGAGGAAGAAGACAGAUUCCACCUCCUAGGCCACCGCGUGAGAGAAGAUGAAGAUGAGGGUUUUCACCUCCUGGGAUUAAUCCCCUUUUCAAUUCCUCGUUUUUUAUU